rnacentral:tRNA from 1 species
GGAUAUAGUUCAGUGGUAGAGCGCCAGAUUGUGGCUCUGGAUGUCGUGGGUUCGAGCCCCACUAUU